rnacentral:rRNA from 1 species
UACGAGGGGGGCAAGCGUUGUUCGGAGUUACUGGGCGUAAAGGGUGCGUAGGCGGCUUUUUAAGUUUGGUGUGAAAUCUCCCGGCUCAACUGGGAGGGUGCGCCGAAUACUGAGAGGCUAGAGUGUGGGAGAGGAAAGUGGAAUUCCUGGUGUAGCGGUGAAAUGCGUAGAUAUCAGGAGGAACACCGGUGGUGUAAACGGCUUUCUGGACCAUAACUGACGCUGAGGCACGAAAGCGUGGGUAGCAAACAGG